UACAGAGGGUGCGAGCGUUAAUCGGAAUGACUGGGCGUAAAGGGUGCGUAGGUGGUUUGCUAAGUUAGUUGUGAAAGCCCUGGGCUCAACCUGGGAAUGGCAGCUAAAACUGGGAAGCUAGAGUAUUGGAGAGGAGUGUGGAAUUUCCGGUGUAGCGGUGAAAUGCGUAGAGAUCGGAAAGAACACCAGUGGCGAAGGCGGCACUCUGGACAGAUACUGACACUGAGGCACGAAGGCGUGGGGAGCAAACAGG
rnacentral:rRNA from 1 species